UGGGGAAUAUUGCACAAUGGGCGCAAGCCUGAUGCAGCCAUGCCGCGUGUGUGAAGAAGGCCUUCGGGUUGUAAAGCACUUUCAGCGAGGAGGAAGGUGGUGAGCUUAAUACGCUCAUCAAUUGACGUUACUCGCAGAAGAAGCACCGGCUAACUCCGUGCCAGCAGCCGCGGUAAUACGGAGGGUGCAAGCGUUAAUCGGAAUUACUGGGCGUAAAGCGCACGCAGGCGGUUUGUUAAGUCAGAUGUGAAAUCCCCGGGCUCAACCUGGGAACUGCAUUUGAAACUGGCAAGCUAGAGUCUCGUAGAGGGGGGUAGAAUUCCAGGUGUAGCGGUGAAAUGCGUAGAGAUCUGGAGGGAUACCGGUGGCGAAGGCGGCCCCCUGGACGAAGACUGACGCUCAGGUGCGAAAGCGUGGGGCAGCAAACAGGAUUAGAUACCCUGGUAGUCCACGCUGUAAACGAUGUCGAUUUUGGAGGUUGUGCCCUUGAGGCGUGGCUUCCGGAGCUAACGCGUUAAAGUCGACCGCCU
rnacentral:rRNA from 1 species